rnacentral:rRNA from 1 species
AUUGAACGCUGGCAGCAGGCUUAACACAUGCAAGUCGAGCGGAGCGAGGGUGCUUGCACCUUAGCUUAGCGGCGGACGGGUGAGUAAUGCUUAGGAAUCUGCCUAUUAGUGGGGGACAGCAUCUCGAAAGGGAUGCUAAUACCGCAUACGUCCUACGGGAGAAAGCAGGGGAUCACUUGUGACCUUGCGCUAAUAGAUGAGCCUAAGUCGGAUUAGCUAGUUGGUGGGGUAAAGGCCUACCAAGGCGACGAUCUGUAGCGGGUCUGAGAGGAUGAUCCGCCACACUGGGACUGAGACACGGCCCAGACUCCUACGGGAGGCAGCAGUGGGGAAUAUUGGACAAUGGGGGGAACCCUGAUCCAGCCAUGCCGCGUGUGUGAAGAAGGCCUUAUGGUUGUAAAGCACUUUAAGCGAGGAGGAGGCUCGUUUGGUUAAUACCCAAGAUGAGUGGACGUUACUCGCAGAAUAAGCACCGGCUAACUCUGUGCCAGCCGCCGCAGUAAAAC